GGCGGACGGGUGAGUAACGCGUAAAGAACUUGCCCUUUAGACUGGGAUAACAGAGGGAAACUUCUGAUAAUACUGGAUAAGUUAGUAUAUCGCAUGAUAUGCAAAUGAAAGCUACGGCACUAAAGGAGAGCUUUGCGUCCUAUUAGCUAGUUGGUAAGGUAAGAGCUUACCAAGGCGGUGAUAGGUAGCCGGCCUGAGAGGGUGGACGGCCACAAGGGGACUGAGAUACGGCCCUUACUCCUACGGGAGGCAGCAGAA
rnacentral:rRNA from 1 species